CUGGCUUUGGCAGCAGGUGUACCAAGGCUGCAGCGACACAGAGAAGAUUAGCGUGCCCUGCGCAAGGAGGACACACAAAUUCACGAAGCGUUCCAUGUUUUU